UAAGACUAGAGACAAUGGAUCACACAUAAAAUCUGUCAACUAUUCAUAGCAGAAAUAAUGUUUGCCAAUUCUGAAGUACAGAUAUGACCUCAUUCACAAUUUCCUUUUUAUCCCAGGCACAAGUUGAAAACCUAUCUGAUGAGGAGCGCAGAUUGGAUCAGCAAAUAAGAGAAAUGCAGGAAAGGUUGAGGGACCUGAGCGAAGAUGAGAGCAAUAAGAAAUGGCUUUUUGUCACUGAAGAAGACAUCAAGGGCUUACCUUCAGGGAGUAGAUUUUAAGGCUUGAGAGCCAAGCCAAAAGGCUUUUGUGCACAAAGAUACCAAACAGCUCACGUAUGCCUUUUUGUUGGGUUUGCAAUGGCCAAAAAUUGAAAUAAUGCAAGAGGAAAGGUUAUUUUGAUUGAUGUUUUUGUUGGAGAAGUUGUGAAGUUUUUCUAUGCACAAUAUCAUUUUCUUAGUUCUUUCGCGCCAAGGAGUGGUCCUCGCAAGUGUCAUACGGUCUCACGAAGAUGUUCUGGGUGCUUGUUUGGUUUGGAGAAUAUCAUUGUGAAAAUUUGCCUAUUGGCACAAUUAUGGUCAUUUUUGGCUUCCCCUCAUAAUUUUCACCAUGGAGUGUUUCACGUGAAUUCAAGGUUUCAGACAUGUUGCAAAUGGUUAUGGUGAUUAUUUGGACCAAGUUUGAGGGUCCUAUAUGGCCUGCACUGUGUUUUAGUUGGAUUAGAAGUUCAAAUAUGAGCCAAAAUACCAAAAUUGCUACUGCUGCAUUUUUUGGCUGUUCAUCAGAUUUUUUGUCGCUAAAACCCCUUUACGAGGGUUGUUCAUUGGAUUUUUUGUAAAGAAAAGGUUCCUGGCACUCUUUAGUGACGGUUUUCUACAGAAAAAUUGUCUCUAAAGGUCAUUUUUUCAAAUUUUGCUGUCCUCACAAGUUUCUGCUUCACACCUAGUUUGGGGGUGGUUUGCCUAAUACACUAGAGCCUUAUGCCUCACCAAUUUUCUCUUCAUGAAGCUAGUGCAAAUAAAUAUGGGAAGUCCUCUUCUUUUUCUUGUUUCUUUUAUUUAUUUAAUCAAUUUUUUUUCUUUUCUAUAUGCUUCCUUCCUAAACUGUGCAUUGCAUGUUUUCUUUUCUUAACAUUGAGGACAAUGUUUAGUUCUAGUUUGGGGGUGGAAAACUUUGUUUAGGUUGUUUUCUUUUAAUAUUUUUUCAAAUUAAAAAAAUAAUAAUUUUCAAUGUUAAGAAAGAAAUUUUUUUUUUUUUUUUUUGACAAAUUCCAUUUUUUUUUUUGUUUUGUUAAUCUUAGUUGUCUGUUCUUCUUGUUAAUUGUGAACAAUUCAAAGUCCAUUGAAAUUUAAAUUUUGAAUUUGAUAUUCAUAGGUGAGUUUUAAGGUUUGAACAUACUUCCAUUAUGAAAUCAAUGGUAAAAUUUGCAAUCAUAGUUAUUUACUUUGGAUGAGUGGAUUAGUCAUAUGCUUCACCUUGAGACUUUCACAUGCACACCAACAUUCUUGCAGGGAGUUAAACGAGUUUUGAGUAUACUCAUCCUUUUGUUUUAUAAAAUAUAGAAUUAGUUAGCAUUUAACUAAAAAGUUUAAAAAAUGUAUAUCAUAUUGAAAGUGACCAAAGAAGUCACCUCCCUAUGCAAAAUCAAAGUACAAUUCAACGAAGCUAGAGUGAAAAUUAAAGUGAGCUAAAAGCUAAAGGUCGGAAAUUAUAUACAAGCAUUUUCAACUCGAGUGAGUAAGUCAUUCGGAAUUUCUUCACAUUUAGUGCCCUAAAGUCAUAUGAUUUGGGAGUCAUGUACUGACCUAAAGCUCGUUACAUGGGUUGAUUAGAAAGUUUGGUCAGAAAAAAAAAAAGGAAAAAAGAAUGCCUCUGCUAGUUGUUUGCUGAAGUCCACAGCAAACUAGAAUCUCCACCAGGAAUUGAGUAAAACCUCAAGAUUUAUUGAAUACAAAUAUGAAGGGAUAUGAUUUCCCCACUCCCAUU